rnacentral:lncRNA from 1 species
AGGAAUUGGUUGCCAUCUUAGAGGAAUGUAUAACUACUGCCGAAGAAUGAAGAAGAGGUAUAGUAUUUUUUGGACUUAAGAAUCUAGGUUAGUGUGUCUUAGUUUAUUCCUCGAAUAUUCCAUUUCUAUUAUUCAUAAUAUUAGAUUGCACACAAUUAGGGAAGAUGUCCGAGAUAUUAGCUUGAAAAUCAUGCCUUCUUAGAAAUCCUUUAGUUUCGACUAUAUCCCAUAUAUAUACUUCCAUAUUUGCAAACUUAUUUAAUUUUUAAAUAACAUUAAUGCUACGCUAAAACCGCCGGAUGUAUCCACUAAUUUUGGUUUGAUCCAUUUGCUAACUAUCCAAAUAAGAAAUCCGGGUUUAAUUUUUGUUUUAACCCGACCCGGAAGUACAAAUGUACUCCUCUUUUACUAAUAUAGAGAUUUGGUUUAUCGCAAAAUCGUUGGUCGUCUUGAAAAUAGAACGGUGUAAGCUAUAGCUAUAUGUAGUUUAGUUUGCUUGUUUGUUGAGGCACGAUUUCAUUCAAAAUCUUUAGUUUUCUUGAUUUAUAUUCGCUUGGAAACAAUUUGAAUAUUUGGCAUUUAAAGAUUAUUCAUGGAUAAAAAAUAAAAUUCAUAGAAGAGGAAUUCAAUUUUUGAUAUAGAAGAUGAAUUCAAAUUUACUCCUCAUUUUAUUUUUCUAUGUUGGGGCAUCAGUGAAAGCUAAAGAGUGAAAGUCCAGUUUACAAAACGAGGUUACAGUCCAUAUAUCUCUAUUUCUUCUUAAGGCGUCAGCUUCAACUUCUAUGGGCUAUGACUAUGAGUAGGAGUAAUUUGCUUUCUUUGUCACCAAGUGUCCACCAUCCGAUACCGUGCGGGUGAAAUAAG